rnacentral:pre_miRNA from 1 species
AAAGUGCAACUUUGAUAGUGUGUAACUCUCCACGCUAUCAGAUGUGCUCUUA